AUGCUGCAAUCAGUAAGGGAUGCUCUGCUGUCUGGUAAGCUGCAUGAGGUCCUGCUUCGCCGAAAUGAACUCCGGUAUGUCAACAACAUAGACCUAGAACUUCUUGAAGACAUUAUCCGCCUUCUGGAACCUUUUGAUGAGGCUACAAGGCACCUCUCCACUGAUCAGACACCUAGUCUUCACCUUGUCCUCCCAACCAAAGGCAACCCUGCUGAGGGGUUUGUUGCUUCAGGAUGGAGACAGUGCUAUUGUGAAAGAGGUGAUCUACCAUUCCUAGUGACCACAGUCACAGAGGUGCACAGUUUCUUCUCAAGCUGUGUGCAGGAGGAGGAGAGGGAGGACUGUGGUAACACUAACGAGUCAUUGACCCGUGAAUUGGUGCUGAAAUACAUGAAUGAGCCUACAAAGAUGACCGUCCGCGGCCAGUCCCUUCUCAACUUCUGGCAGGAGAUGUCAGGUGGGCUGGUGCCAGUUGCCAGGAAGCUGCUGGCAAUCCCAGCAACAAGUACUCCAUCAGAGAGGAGCUUCAGUGUUGCUGGAAGAUUAAUUGAGGAGAGGCGCACCAACCUCAGUCCAGAAUCUGUGGACACUCUCUUGUUCUUGCAUAGCAACAGUGGGACUCCAUCUUAAUGGAAACUCAGUGAAAACUUGGUUAUAUAAUGUGUGUGUUUACAUAGAUGAUUUACAUGACUUUUAAUGAAGUUUAAACUUUUGCCUUUUAGUUCAAUAAAAUAACAACAAAAAACCCUACAUUUUGGACUUUUAUUCAACUAAGCUGGCCAAUCUGGGCAUGCUGUGAUCUUUACUGUAUUUUUACUGUAAAAAUAAAACAACCGGGAGUGGGAGGGAAUGGGAAUCAUUCUUCUGGUUUUGGGACGGGACGGGAUUUUCCCCCAGUUUUUCCGUGGGAUUGGGACGGGAUGGAAUUUUUUUUGUGGGAGUGGGACGGAAGGGUUUGAAAAUUCACUCCCGUGUCAGCCUCUAGUAUGUAUAUGAAAAGCCCUGUUGGUUUUAUUAGUGCUGGAAAUCUGAUUUUUUUUUUUUUCCCUUCCAUUAUGAAAGAAUAUAAUGUGUAGAGCAGGGGUCGGCAACCUACGGCACGCAGAGGGAUAAUCGCUGGCAUGCGAGCAAUAGGGAAAACUGCAUACUGAUGUACAUUUUGAGGUAAUAACGUCUCAUAGUCACACAGCCUGUUAGGAGCUAUAAAUACUAUUAAAGUGUGAGAAUUAACUUGCGCUAGUCUACGGAUGCGCGCACGACCACUGCACAUACUAGCGCUUCUGAUCAAAGCUUCAGUGGUCUAACAGUGCUCGUCAAUGUCAAAAUGACUGAGCUGGCCAAUCAAAUCAAAGGUUUACUGUUGACAGAAGCAGAGCACGAGGCAUCAGUUUAACAUAAAAGAGAGCGAGGUAAGAUGAAGCUGCAAAUCAUUUAAUAUUAGUCCACUUUUAACGAUAUGUUUUAUGAUAGAAAUGUUAAAUGACCGACAGCUAUAUCCAGUGACGCAAACUAGUCUAAUUUUUUUUUUCUCAAAUAUGGCCAUUUUGAGAGAGAGAGAGAGAGAUGGGUGUAUAUUGUCUGCAUCUGUGUCUCUCUCUACAAAUAAUAAAGCUGAGUUUAGUUAGGCCUACUUUAAACAGUGUUUUUACCCCCUCUCAAUGUCAAAUGCAGAAAUGUUAAUCCAUGCGUUUAUGACCUCAAGGUUAGAUUAUUGUAAUGCUCUAUUGGGUGGUUGUUCUGCAAGCUUAGUAAACAAACUCCAGUUAGUCCAAAAUGCAGCAGCUAGAGUUCUUACUAGAACCAGGAAGUAUGAUCAUAUUAGCCCGGUCCUGUCAACACUGCACUGGCUCCCUAUCAAACAUCGUAUAGAUUUUAAAAUCUUGCUUAUUACUUAUAAAGCCCUGAAUGGUUUAGCACCUCAGUAUUUGAACGAGCUCUUGUUACAUUAUAGUCAUCCACGUCCGCUCUGUUCUCAAAACUCUGGCAAUUUGAUAAUACCUAGAAUAUCAAAGUCAACUGCGGGCGGCAGAUCCUUCUCCUAUUUAGCGCCCAAACUCUGGAAUAACCUACCUAACAUUGUUCGGGAGGCAGACACACUCUUGCAGUUUAAAUCUAGAUUAAAGACCCAUCUCUUUAACCUGGCUUACACAUAACAUACUAAUACUCUUCUAAUAUACAAAUCCGUUAAAGGAUUUUUAGGCUGCAUCAAUUAGUUAACAAGACCACAGGAAACAGAUGAUUCUUCUGCACAAUCUGACUUUGCUGCAGCCUGGAAUUGAACUGCUGGUUUCAUCUGGUCAGAGGAGAACUGGCCCCCCAACUGAGCCUGGUUUCUCCCAAGGUUUUUUCUCCUUUCUGUCACCAAUGGAGUUUUGGUUCCUUGCCGCUGUCGCCUCUGGCUUGCUUAGUUGGGGACACUUCAUUUACAGCGAUAUCGUUGACUUGAUUGCAAAUUAUUGCACAGAUAGUAUUUAAACUGAACUGAGCUGCAUGAUGACCACUGAAUUCAAUGAUGAACUGCCUUUAACUGUCAUUUUGCAUUAUUGACACACUGUUUUCCUAAUUAAUGUUGUUCAGUUGCUUUGACGCAAUCUUUUUUGUUUAAAGCGCUAUAUAAAUAAAGGUGACUUGACUUGACUUGCUACAGGUAACAACUCUUUCAGUAAUUUAGUGGGCACAGGAUCUAAUAAACAUGUUGUUGGUUUAGAUGCAGUGAUACGUUUAUUUAGCUCUUCAUGUCCUAUAGUUGUAAAGCACUGGAGUUUAUCUUUGGAUGCAAUGAAUGAAGCUGAAUUAUUAGACGCUGUAGAAUCUACAUUUGUUAUUGUAUUUCUGAUGUUAUCUAUUUUUCCAGUGAAGAAAUUCAUAAAGUCAUUACUAUUAAACUGUGAGGGAAUAUUUAGAUUGGGUGGCUUCUGGUUAUUUGUUAAUCUAGCCACUGUGCUAAAUAAAAAUCUUGGAUUGUUUUGUUUAUUUUCUAUGAGUUUGUGAAUAUACUUGGCCCUGGCAGUGUUUAGAGCCUGUCUGUAGGUGGACAUACUGUUUUUCCACUCAAUUCUAAAAACUUCCAAGUUAGUCGUUCUCCAUUUGCACUCAAGACUAAGAGUUUCUUUCUUGAGAGAGUGAGUAUUACUAUUGUAACAUGGCAUAGUACGUUUUUCUCUAACCUUUUUCAAUUUGAUGGGGGCAACAGCUUCUAAUGUAUUAGAGAAGAUAGUGCCCAUGUUGCCAGUUAUUUAUGGGUACACAGAGCAGUUAAGAUAAUCAGGCAGAUUAUUUGUGAAUCUGUCUUUGGUGGCUGGAACAAUAGUUCUGCCCGGACGAUAACGCGGAGCCAUAUAGUUAAAAUCAGUAAUACGCAGAAUGCACGAUACAAGGAAAUGGUCAGUAACAUCAUCACUUUGAGGAACGAUAUCUAUAUCAGUAAGAUCAAUUCCAUGCAAUAUAAUUAAAUCUAGUGUAUGAUUAAAACGAUGAGUGGACCCGGUGACAUUUAGCUUGACUCCAAAAGAGUUUAUUAGGUCAGUAAAUGCAAGUCCUAAUGUAUCAUUUGUAUUAUCAACGUGAAUGUUAAAAUCUCCGACAAUUUGCACUUGAUCAACGGUAACCAAUUGGUCUGAGGGAAUUCUGUAUACGGCCCUGGUAGUCUAUACAUUUAGCAGAAGUAUUUCAAAUGAGUUAAACCUGUAUCCUGUUUUCUGGGUAAUGUAAGGGAAACAGGUCAAUUUAGCUCAAAGGGAAUCAUUUAAGAUUUUAAAGGGAAUUUGAACAGAAUCACUGUUUCACGGCUGAUCACUGAAACGGCCAGCGAUUCACUGAACGAGCCGUUUAACAUCAAAUCUGCGCUGGAUAUUAAUAUCCAAAGUAUAGUGAAAACACUAUUUUCACUAUACUUUCACAAUUAGCACAGUAACAAGAUCGGCAGUUUAAGACAUUAACUUGUAAGCACAAAACACAAGAUACUUCUCUUUUCAAAAUGAAUGAGCCUUUAUUAGAUAAAUCUAAGACAUAUAAACUAAUCUAACACAUAAGCACACGCACUCACAUUCACACAGUUGCAGGAGGAUAGAGAGUUAGGAAAGAAUGAGUUUAAGAGAAUGAAAAUGUGAAAUCCCAAGUUUACAGCAAUACGUGAAAUUGCAUAGACAUGAACAACCAUCAGUCACUUAAUUAACCCUCGCAUUGAGUUCAUCAAUUAGGUUAAAAUUAUAUUAGAUAACACCAGUACAGAUCAGAGUCUGGAGGUACGUUACUUGUGAUGCCUGUGUAACGGGGUUCCCUUUGUUGUCGCUGACAAGGAGGUUUCCCGAGGUUGCUGAUUGGCUGGAAGUUCAGUAGUCGUUGAAGUGAUGUCUUGGGAAGCCCGUGGUUGGGCGUAGGCUGAAGAUGCGGAGUUGUGGAAUUAGCACAGUAACAAGAUCGGCAGUUUAAGACAUUAACUUGUAAGCACAAAACACAAGAUACUUCUCUUUUCAAUAUGAAUAAGGCUUUAUUAGAUAAAUCUAAGACAUAUAAACUAAUCUAACACAUAAGCACACGCACUCACACAUUCACACAAGUUGCAGGAAGAUAGAAAGUUAGGGAAGAAUGAGUUUAAGAGAAUGAAAAUGUGAAAUCCCAAGUUUACAGCAAUACGUGAAAUUGCAUAGACAUGAACAACCAUCAGUCACUUAAUUAACCCUCGCAUUGAGUUCAUCAAUUAGGUUAAAAUUAUAUUAGAUAACACCAGUACAGAUCAGAGUCUGGAGGUACGUUACUUGUGAUGCCUGUGUAACGGGGUUUGAAAAGGAGGUUUCCCGAGGUUGCUGAUUGGCUGGAAGUUCAGUAGUCGUUGAAGUGACAUCUUGGGAAGCCCGUGGUUGGGCGUAGGCUGAAGAUGCGGAGUUGUGGGCUGGCUGAAGUUUCAGACGGGCACGCGAGGUCAGACUCGGAGACACUGCGUUACAAAACUUAACUCAGAACACAAACUCUCAAACGGAAAAGAAAAGAAACUAAAGUAAAAGAAUAGAAGCAAAGUUUGACGAGACUAGGUGGUGUUUCUUCUCAUCGUGGCUAAGUAGCAGGCGUGCAGGCCGAAGCACGCUGGAACGGCGCUCAAAGAAUGCUAAAAGUGAUGACAAAGCAUGACUAAAAGCAAAGGCUAAAAGCCGGCAUGACUGAUAGCAAAAGCUAAACGCAAGCUAAAAGCUAAAAAGCAAAGGCUAAAAGCUAAAGCAAAAGCUAAAAGUAAAGUUUGAUGGUGUCCUGAGUAUUUAAACUGGCCUUUUUGGCCACACCUCAAAUGUUGUCUUGACCAAUUAGAUAUUGUCUUUUCUCGGUGUGUUGCGAUGUUUGUCCCACCCAUUCAUAAAUCAUAUGUUAUCUUAUCAAGCACGUGGUCCGAAUUUUCCCGCUCUUGCAGGGUAUAAUUUGGACAUGAUUCCUAUAACAAGAAUAUGAUACAUUUGACAAAUAACUGAUGGUCAGAAACGUUUCAAGCAAGAAGAUUCAAUCUCCAGUCUAACAAGGCUUA
rnacentral:lncRNA from 1 species